rnacentral:rRNA from 1 species
CAGCAGCCGCGGUAAUACAGAGGGUGCGAGCGUUAAUCGGAUUUACUGGGCGUAAAGCGUGCGUAGGCGGCUUUUUAAGUCGGAUGUGAAAUCCCUGAGCUUAACUUAGGAAUUGCAUUCGAUACUGGGAAGCUAGAGUAUGGGAGAGGAUGGUAGAAUUCCAGGUGUAGCGGUGAAAUGCGUAGAGAUCUGGAGGAAUACCGAUGGCGAAGGCAGCCAUCUGGCCUAAUACUGACGCUGAUGUACGAAAGCAUGGGGAGCAAACAGGAUUAGAUACCCCAGUAGUCCCUGUCUCUUAUAC